rnacentral:misc_RNA from 1 species
AACUUUCAGCAAUGGAUCACUUGGCUCUCGCAUCGAUGAAGAACGCAGCGAAAUGCGAUACGGAAUGUGAAUUGCAGAAUUCAGUGAAUCAUCGAAUCUUUGAACGCACCUUGCGCCCUUUGGCAUUCCGAGGGGCACACCCGUUUGAGUGUCGUGACAUCCUCAAAACCUUCUUGGUUUCUUGACCGGGAAGGCUUUGGACUUUGGAGGUUUUUGCUGGCCUUCCUUUGUUGGAUCCAGCCCCUCUGAAAUGAAUUAGUGGGGUCCGGUUUGCCGAUCCUUGACUUGAUAGGAUGUUUUCUACGUCUUGGGUUUCGCACUGUUCGCUCUGGAUCCUGCUUCUAACUGUCUCAUAGAAGACAAUGGUCAAGUGAUUGCCACUUGACCCAAACACCUUGACCUCAAAUCGGGUGAGACUACCCGCUGAACUUAAGCAUAUCAAUAAGCGGAGGCU